rnacentral:rRNA from 1 species
ACAUGACUCUCGGCAACGGAUAUCUCGGCUCUCGCAUCGAUGAAGAACGUAGCGAAAUGCGAUACCUGGUGUGAAUUGCAGAAUCCCGCGAACCAUCGAGUUUUUGAACGCAAGUUGCGCCCGAGGCCUCUUGGUUGAGGGCACGCCUGCCUGGGCGUCACGC